AGUCAAUGAUGAUAUGAUGAAAGGCUUGUUUCUCAGAAUUCGCAGUGGCCGCCCAAGAGCAUUCGCCUUCGCCAGGCUUGAGAGCUAAUGCUGCUUUAAUCCUUCCUUGGAUGUCUGAGAUU